rnacentral:rRNA from 1 species
GCAAAUCCCUAAAAGACCAUCCCAGUUCGGAUCGCAGGCUGCAACCCGCCUGCGUGAAGUUGGAAUCGCUAGUAAUCGCGGAUCAGCAUGCCGCGGUGAAUACGUUCCCGGGCCUUGUACACACCGCCCGUCACACCAUGAGAGUCGGGAACACCCGAAGUCCGUAGCCUAACAGCAAUGGGGCGCGGCCGAAGGUGGGUUCGAUAAUUGGGGUGAAGUCGUAACAAGGUAAC